UACGAAGGGGGCUAGCGUUGUUCGGAAUUACUGGGCGUAAAGCGCACGUAGGCGGAUACUUAAGUCAGGGGUGAAAUCCCGGGGCUCAACCCCGGAACUGCCUUUGAUACUGGGAAUCUCGAGUCCGGAAGAGGUGAGUGGAAUUCCGAGUGUAGAGGUGAAAUUCGUAGAUAUUCGGAGGAACACCAGUGGCGAAGGCGGCUCACUGGUCCGGUACUGACGCUGAGGUGCGAAAGCGUGGGGAGCAAACAGG
rnacentral:rRNA from 1 species